CCAAAACAAACACGUAUACAAAAACACAGGGAUGUAACCCAAACAAAAGAGCAAGGUUAAACUUCUAAUAAAUACACGGGACUAGACCCGUAAAACAAUGUACGGGACGAGACCGUAAUAACAAUUGCACAAUACUACACAGGACGAGACCCGUAAUAGCAAGUACACAAUACACACAGCACGAAAGCCGAAACAACAAAGCACAGGUACUCACAAGACCAACGGACAUUGGAACAUUAACUGAACACACAAUGGCGAACAGAGGGCACAUAUAUACAAUUACUAAUCAGGGGGAAAUAGGAACCAGGUGUGCGUAAUUAGACAAGACAGUCCGGGUUUGGUGGUAAUGAACCAGUUCAGUGACACCUGGAAGCCGGUGACGUAGAACUCGGGAACUGGUGCACGGAAUGAGCAGCAGUACCGGAGGGAUCGGUGACAGUACCCCCCACCCCCUGACGCACUGCACUAGCAGCGGGACGACACUGGCCUGAGGGACAACCACAGGGAUGAGGUGCGGGUCGGUCAGGGCAGGCAGAGGUUCCGGGUGGAGAGCCAGUUGUAGCUUCAGAGGUAGCGUUGUCAGAUGAGAUAGUUGCAGCUGCAGAAGUCGCGUCGUCGUUGGACGGGCCAGUUGCAGCUGCCGAAGUUGCGGCAGCGUCGGACUGGCCAGUUACAGCUGCCGGACUGCCAGUUGCCGAAAGUUGCGGCUGCGUCGGACUGGCCAGUUGUCGUGGUUGCGGCUGCGUCGGACUGGACGGUUGCCGAGGUUGCGUCGGACUGGACGGUUGCAGCUGCCGAAGUUGCUGCAGCGGCGAACGGGCCAUACCCGCUGUCUCCAUUUAGGAACCACAAUCAUUUUCAGACACAAUUCAUGUCCGUUCUCACUGGAUGAGAACCAAGGGUGGUCAGAUGUGUGUAUGAAUGUGGACAUCUCCUUCCGUUAAACUCCCCUGAACCUGGACAUCCGCCUCAUCCUUGUUCUUAAGGCCGGUGGCGGGUUGCUUCCGGCCUUAAACCAGCACCUAAGAUCUAUCCACCUGUUUGCCUAUCCACCAUAUGGAGUUUGGAUGGACAGCUACAUGACCAAAGGCAGUGGGAUGUCUCAGAAAAAUAACCCUUCCUGCACAUGUAGCAGUGGCUAAAAAUAACCCAGUG
rnacentral:lncRNA from 1 species